GGCCAAAAAUAGCUUCAUUUUCAUCAGAUGACAACAGAAGUGUAAUGAUGUUUGUCUGACAGCCACAAAAGUAAAUGAACCUACAAUGAAAAGCAAGGUAUUUUUUUUCAAAAACGAUGCAUGGCCAACAUUUCUAAUGUUUAGGCCUACCAUAGGAAGAAUGUAGGCAGCUACAUUUCCUAAUGUUUUGCUUUUAACAGGAGAAAAAUAGUCUGGC